rnacentral:rRNA from 1 species
CGUGGAGACAGGUGGUGCAUGGCUGUCGUCAGCUCGUGUCGUGAGAUGUUGGGUUAAGUUCCGCAACGAGCGCAACCCUCGUCCUAUGUUGCCAUCAGUUCGGCUGGGCACUCAUAGGAGACUGCCAGAGUAAUCUGGAGGAAGAUGGGGAUGACGUCAAGUCCGCAUGCCCCUUACGCCCUGGGCUGCACACAUGCUACAAUGGGCGGUACAGAGGGAAGCAAGACCGCGAGGUGGAGCCGAUCCCAAAAAACCGUCCUCAGUUAGGAUCGGAGUCUGCAACCCGACUCCGUGAAUGCGGAAUCGCUAGUAAUCGUGGAUCAGCAUGCCACGGUGAAUACGUUCCCGGGCCUUGUACACACCGCCCGUCACACCACGAAAGUCUGCUGUACUCGAAGUCGCUGAG